CCUACGGGUGGCAGCAGUGAGGAAUAUUGGUCAAUGGGCGAGAGCCUGAACCAGCCAAGUCGCGUGAGGGAGUACUGCCCUAUGGGUUGUAAACCUCUUUUGUCGGGGAGCAAAAGCCGGACGUGUCCGGCUGUGAGAGUACCCGAAGAAAAAGCAUCGGCUAACUCCGUGCCAGCAGCCGCGGUAAUACGGAGGAUGCGAGCGUUAUCCGGAUUUAUUGGGUUUAAAGGGUGCGCAGGAGGAUUUUUAAGUCAGCGGUAAAAUCGUGGGGCUCAACCCCAUCCAGCCGUUGAAACUGGGGAUCUAGAGUGUGCGAGAGGUAGGCGGAAUGCGUGGUGUAGCGGUGAAAUGCAUAGAUAUCACGCAGAACCCCGAUUGCGAAGGCAGCAUACCGGUGCACAACUGACGCUCAGGCACGAAAGCGUGGGUAUCGAACAGGAUUAGAUACCCCGGUAGUC
rnacentral:rRNA from 1 species